rnacentral:rRNA from 1 species
GAGAUGGUGCCCCCCUUNUGGUCGGUAUACAGGUGGUGCAUGGCUGUCGUCAGCUCGUGUCGUGAGAUGUUGGGUUAAGUCCCGCNACGAGCGCAACCCUUNUUCUGUGUUGCCAGCAUGCCCUUCGGGGUGAUGGGGACUCAUCAGGAGACCUGCCGGGGUCAAACUCGGAGGAAGGUGGGGACGACGUCAAGUCAUCAUGCCCCUUAUGUCUUGGGCUGCACACGUGCUACAAUGGCCGGUACAAUGAGCUGCGAUGCCGCGAGGCGGAGCGAAUCUCAAAAACCUGGUCUCAGUUCGGAUUGGGGUCUGCAACUCGACCCCAUGAAG